GAAGAAAUGCAUGACAUGCUCACCGUAACACCCGAAGCGCCAGGAUGUUGAUGUGUAUUCUGGAUUCCCAAGGGGUCUGGGUCUCUUGCAUCACAUGCUCCCCCAUGUGGGCACCCCAUCCGGAGAGUGAUGCAUCCAUGAUGAUAGUCGUGUCCGAUGAAGAUGAGAGGAACAGCAUCCCGGCAAAGACCUGUCUUGGGUACGUCCACCACUGGAACGAGGAGAGCACCUUGGGAGGCACUGACAGCAGAAAGUCUGUGGUAUAUCCUGUGGGUGACUAGACUUUUGGAGCCAUAGCUGAAGUCGGCGAAGUCAGAGGUGAGCGAAAGCAGUGACGUAUGUGCAGGCUGCCACGUUGCCAAGGAGGGAAAGGCAAGUCCUGACAAAACAGAAGAACUGUUGACUACUUUGAUGAUGAGUUCCUGCAGGGUCUCGAACCUGUCCCACGGUAAGUAGGCUUGUGCUGAGACUGAGUUGAUGGAGGCCCCUAUGAAAUGCAGGGAUUGCAUGGGAACCAAAGUUGAUUUUUCAACACUGACACUUACCCCCAGGGAAGAAAGUAGCCUGAGUAACAUGGAGGUUGAGGCUCAACCCUCGUCCCUGGAUCGCGCUGGUAGCAGACAGUCAUCAAGACAGGGGAAUAUAAGGACCUCGUGACGCCAGUGGUGGGCCACUAUGACAGAGAAAAUUUUGGCGAAGACCUGUGGAGCAGUGUACCAGACUGAGCAGCUCAUUCUCCAAAACCAGUUCCAAACAUCUACUCAAGGAUGCCCAAAGCAGGGAUGGGGUGAACCCUCUCUUGCUGAUUGGGAAGGCUCUGAAAGUGGAUAUUGAGGCCAAUAUGGCCAACAGGAUGGAUCCACCAGAUGCUGCGGAGAGCCCCACGGAGCGAGGCUCCAGCAUGGGGUCCAUAGUACUGUUACUGGCAGAACCGGACUCGAUCUCUGCAGUUGGAGGUGCACUCCUGGAUUUCUCAGGCUGAUGUACAGGAGGGGUUCCCCAGCCUGGAUCCGACUGCAGCCUCAUGGCGACCUCCAUGAUGUGCUUUUUGAGGCAGAGAUCCCAGCCUUCUCAGGUAUGCCUUAGGAAGGACAGGCAGAUACUGCACCUGGAUGAAAUGUGGGCUUCUCCCAAGGAUCAGAGCAGCAUUGGUGCUUGUCGCUGACUGAGAAUGAACAAUCUUGAACCCUGGAGUCUUCGGCAUAAUCCAGUACCUGGAUGCAGGUGCUGGAUUGGGUGGGAGGGACUAGUAACAGAUUCUCCAAAAUCUCUUAUCUCCUAAAAACUACUACUAAACGCUAAACUACAGUUGAAAAACAA